GGGCAAUGUCGUCGUAUUUGCUUCAGAAAGUGCUUCCAGUAGAAAGAAAGGAGCCUCAAAGAAACCACUCUCAAAGCAGGAGAAAGCUGUAAUCUGUAUCCCCACUCCCUGGUUGGUUAUUAUUUCUGGAUACCAGCUAUUACAAUUGCUUCUAAUCACUGGUUACUGCAGACAAAAUCCACCCUCCCCUUUUGCUUCUCUUCUGGAAGCAGUUUUGAAACACAGAAAAAAGCUGGUGUGCACCUCCUGUAUAGGGACUCUGAGAAAAAUGAAGGUGAAUCAACAAAAGUGUCUGCUUAAUAGACCAACUCUGUACUCAGCCACCCCACUGAUGUCAAUGGAACAUACAAGACAGUGAGUAAAUGUUAGUUUUGCACUAUCUAUUCUCCCUGCCAUGCUCUUGAAGGUAUUUCCAAGAUGCAGCACAC
rnacentral:lncRNA from 1 species